UAACCGAUGUGUCAGCUAGCGAACGACGAGAACCAUUCGGCGAACCUCCAUCGUCCAUGCUUGGGUCAAAGGAAAACUUGCUCCCUGCAGAUGAAUAAUUUACCCAUAUUCAAAAUUAAUCGACAAGAAACAUCAUUGUACGAAGCUCUCUCAACCAUGGAAAUCACGUAGAUUCCAUAUUUCUACGUCGUUCGAUGUGCAAAUUUGUCGUACCGGGAGAAGAAAUCAAUUGAUGGAACGGGCUCUUGUGCGACGUUAGAUUAUUGUCCAACGACAGUGAGGGGAUCUUAGGAUUGGGAAGAGUCAUACAUCGGUGGGUAAACCUUCUCGAUCUACUCCUCCGAUUUGUAUCUGUUAUUUGUAGAAAGCGAAAUUUGUUUAGUCGAAGGUUAUUGAGAGUAGGAUUUGACAUGAAUUUUUGUUUCUGUCGAGUAGAUAUCGUCUCUAGAAUAAGGUGAACAGAACGAAACACUGAGGUGCAUUGAGUAUUUUUUGUAUGGACUUUAUAAAGUAGGAAUAUGUAUGUGCAAAUUUAAGGACAUGCAAAGGAAAUUAAAACAGAUACUUUUAUUCUAUUUAGGCGGAGUUUCUUUCUUUUUUUUUUAUUAACAAUUAGAUUUUAUUACGAAAAAUGAGUAUAAAUUACACAUAAUGGAAUAAAAAUAAACGGUGUGAAAUAUCUUGAAAUAUAAGAGAAAUUAAAAAAAGAAGUUGUCGAAUUUUUCUAACUUAGCCAUAAAUGAGUAUUUAUUUUUUUUUAUUUAAUUUUUUUUUCAUUUUAUUCUCAUUUCAGUGUAGGAGAAAAUAUAAUAUCUAUGAGACAAUCAGCAUGCAAAUAAAUAUAGAAGGUGAACGAAAGAUUUUAUUCUCUGACACUUAUGUACAGUGUAAAUCAUUUAUCGUCAUGCUUUGAUCGAGAUAGGAGUGAUCUUGUUUCUUUAUUUAUUAUAAUUAUUAUUUUUUUUUAUGGCUAUGUAGAAUUUUAAGCAAAGAGCCCUUCGAGACACUGGGUAAAGUUUCCAUGUGCUUUUCUGAAUCAUCCGAUUAAUGGCAAGAAAUUAAAAAUGUGCGUGUAACGUGAUACAGGAUUAAUUGAUACCAUCCAAGAAAAUUCUUUUUAGCAUGUUGUUAUUACGUAUAGAGUAUUUUAGAGGUUUUUUUUUUUUUCAUUUUUCUGGUUUUUAUUAAAUGCUAUCGUCUGAUUUGCCGUUGCGAAAUUUAC